GCACAAAGCACUUCUUGUUACAGAGAGAAAUGUUUUGAUUCAUUAUUUCAGGAAAGGAUGCCAAGGAAAAAAAGCAGCUGACUUACAACAGCAGUUCGUACAUUUCCUGGACUGUUGGGAUGUAUCAUGUAUUCCAUUUACAUUGCACCUGCCUCAGGCACAGGAUAUCACUACGUAAGAGCAAACAUAUUGGCAAGUAACAAUAUGGUGUAUGUG
rnacentral:lncRNA from 1 species